rnacentral:rRNA from 1 species
UACGGAGGGUGCGAACGUUGCUCGGAAUCAUUGGGCGUAAAGCGCACGUAGGCGGCGAGGCAAGUUGGGUGUGAAAGCCCUGGGCUCAACCCAGGAAGUGCAUUCAAAACUACCUUGCUUGAAUCUCGGAGGGGGUCAGAGAAUUCCCGGUGUAGAGGUGAAAUGCGUAGAUAUCGUAAGGAAGACCAGUGGCGAAGGCGGGUCUCUGGACAGUUCCUGACGCUGAGGCACGAAGGUCAGGGGAGCAAACGGG